rnacentral:rRNA from 1 species
UACAGAGGUCUCAAGCGUUGUUCGGAAUUAUUGGGCGUAAAGCGCGUGUAGGCGGCUUUGCAAGUCGGGUGUGAAAGCCCUCAGCUUAACUGAGGAAGUGCGCCCGAAACUGCAGAGCUUGAGUACCGGAGAGGAUGGUGGAAUUCCCCAAGUAGAGGUGAAAUUCGUAGAUAUGGGUGAGGAACACCGGUGGCGAAGGCGGCCAUCUGGACGGAUACUGACGCUGAGACGCGAAAGCGUGGGUAGCAAACAGG